rnacentral:rRNA from 1 species
AGAGUUUGAUCCUGGCUCAGAUUGAACGCUGGCGGCAGGCCUAACACAUGCAAGUCGAACGGUAACAGGAAGCAGCUUGCUGCUUUGCUGACGAGUGGCGGACGGGUGAGUAAUGUCUGGGAAACUGCCUGAUGGAGGGGGAUAACUACUGGAAACGGUAGCUAAUACCGCAUAACGUCGCAAGACCAAAGAGGGGGACCUUCGGGCCUCUUGCCAUCAGAUGUGCCCAGAUGGGAUUAGCUUGUUGGUGGGGUAACGGCUCACCAAGGCGACGAUCCCUAGCUGGUCUGAGAGGAUGACCAGCCACACUGGAACUGAGACACGGUCCAGACUCCUACGGGAGGCAGCAGUGGGGAAUAUUGCACAAUGGGCGCAAGCCUGAUGCAGCCAUGCCGCGUGUAUGAAGAAGGCCUUCGGGUUGUAAAGUACUUUCAGCGGGGAGGAAGGUGUUGUGGUUAAUAACCGCAGCAAUUGACGUUACCCGCAGAAGAAGCACCGGCUAACUCCGUGCCAGCAGCCGCGGUAAUACGGAGGGUGCAAGCGUUAAUCGGAAUUACUGGGCGUAAAGCGCACGCAGGCGGUCUGUUAAGUCAGAUGUGAAAUCCCCGGGCUCAACCUGGGAACUGCAUCUGAUACUGGCAGGCUUGAGUCUCGUAGAGGGGGGUAGAAUUCCAGGUGUAGCGGUGAAAUGCGUAGAGAUCUGGAGGAAUACCGGUGGCGAAGGCGGCCCCCUGGACGAAGACUGACGCUCAGGUGCGAAAGCGUGGGGAGCAAACAGGAUUAGAUACCCUGGUAGUCCACGCCGUAAACGAUGUCGACUUGGAGGUUGUGCCCUUGAGGCGUGGCUUCCGGAGCUAACGCGUUAAGUCGACCGCCUGGGGAGUACGGCCGCAAGGUUAAAACUCAAAUGAAUUGACGGGGGCCCGCACAAGCGGUGGAGCAUGUGGUUUAAUUCGAUGCAACGCGAAGAACCUUACCUGGUCUUGACAUCCACGGAAGUUUUCAGAGAUGAGAAUGUGCCUUCGGGAACCGUGAGACAGGUGCUGCAUGGCUGUCGUCAGCUCGUGUUGUGAAAUGUUGGGUUAAGUCCCGCAACGAGCGCAACCCUUAUCCUUUGUUGCCAGCGGUUAGGCCGGGAACUCAAAGGAGACUGCCAGUGAUAAACUGGAGGAAGGUGGGGAUGACGUCAAGUCAUCAUGGCCCUUACGACCAGGGCUACACACGUGCUACAAUGGCAUAUACAAAGAGAAGCGACCUCGCGAGAGCAAGCGGACCUCAUAAAGUAUGUCGUAGUCCGGAUUGGAGUCUGCAACUCGACUCCAUGAAGUCGGAAUCGCUAGUAAUCGUGGAUCAGAAUGCCACGGUGAAUACGUUCCCGGGCCUUGUACACACCGCCCGUCACACCAUGGGAGUGGGUUGCAAAAGAAGUAGGUAGCUUAACCUUCGGGAGGGCGCUUACCACUUUGUGAUUCAUGACUGGGGUGAAGUCGUAACAAGGUAACC